CAGCAGCCGCGGUAAAACGUAGGUGGCAAGCGUUGUCCGGAAUUAUUGGGCGUAAAGGGCUCGCAGGCGGUUUCUUAAGUCUGAUGUGAAAGCCCCCGGCUCAACCGGGGAGGGUCAUUGGAAACUGGGAAACUUGAGUGCAGAAGAGGAGAGUGGAAUUCCACGUGUAGCGGUGAAAUGCGUAGAGAUGUGGAGGAACACCAGUGGCGAAGGCGACUCUCUGGUCUGUAACUGACGCUGAGGAGCGAAAGCGUGGGGAGCGAACAGGAUUAGAUACCCGUGUAGUCCCUGUCUCUUAUAC
rnacentral:rRNA from 1 species